CGCCGCUCUCGGGGUCCAGGCCGUAUAUAGGCGCUCGAUUGACCUUGCCUGGGAAGUCCGAGCGGUCGAUGGAUCCAGGGGAUUGGCGGAGCUGGUGGUGGGCGGGUCCAGGUGGGCGGGGCUUUCCCAAACGCGGAAGCUCUCUUAACUUGGGUUAGCUAUGGCCCCUUCGGGCGCGGUCAGCUCUGUUUGUGCUGCGCCAGGGUCAAAGUUCUUGGCUCUCUUUCCCCACGCCUUGUCUUGUCUUGUCGGACCACCGUGGAUAAGAUCGUGGGGCCAGUCGGAUCUUUCUCUGGACCUUUCACAGCUCCUGGCCAUCCUUAAGGGAUGCUUUCCUCCUGGGGCUUGUAAAUUAUUUUCCAGCUCUCAGGAAGGGGAAUGCGUUUUCUUGCUUUGCGUUCAGUGACCCUACGUUUACUGCUGGAGAGAGGGGGAAAAAAUCUGUGGACCCAGCUAAAUGCUUACUUACCAGGGUCUGGGCACAUUUUAAAAUGAGUGCGAUGUGAAUACCAGUACUCUGUAGGCAGAAGCUGGAAGAUCGCCUCAAGUUUGAACCCAGCCUGGGGUAUCUAGCUAGAUCUUUUCUCAGAAGCUAAGAAAGAAAGAAAGGAAGAAAGAAGAAAGAAAGAAAGAAAGAAAGAAAGAAAGAAAGAAAGAAAGGAAGGAAAAAGAGGAAAGAAAGAAAGAAAGAAAGAAAGGAAGGACGAAAAGAAAAGAGAGGAAAGAAAGAAAGAAAAGUGAAAAAAGAAAUACACAUUUUGUGAGUUUUGAUUACCACAGUUAAUGGAGGAGUUGGGGUAGGGGGACCCCGUUGGCUUUGGCAAAAUUCCAGCAAGCGUAUCUAACUAAAUCUUUCAGGGCCACGGGCUUUAAUGAACCAAAGGCGGAAGGUUGAUUGAGCUUUGACCCCCCAAGUGCAACCUGCAAUAACCUGCCUGGCUCCAUCCUAAGCCACGCGGAAACAUAGUGCCUGCCAGAGGUUAAAGUGCACCAGGACCUGUCUCAUGUUUUUUGUGUGGAAAUAGCUGUGUUGUUUUCAGUUGAUGGUGGAAGCUCAAAGCAGUUUUUCUGCAGGGACACAUUUUCACCCUAAGCCUUAUCAGACGUGGACACUCAACUCCUGGUCAACGCUCUACUACAAAAAAAUAUUUAGUUUCUAUUUAUCUGAGAUUGGGUCUCACCUAGGAUGGCUUACUGGCCUAGAACUCUCAGUGUGGACAGGUUGGCCUUGGGCUCAUAGGGAUCUGCCUUCCCCUGCCUCUGGCUGCAAUGAAAGGAGAAAGAAUGACAACUCUUUUGAUCAUUUGUAAAACCGGUAGAACAGCUUACCCAGUAAAUCUACUCAAAAGAAAGUACUGGCAAGGCCUAGGGACACACUUUCACCUGACCGGUGGAUGAAAUGGCAACAACUUGCCUUUACCAUAAUUUUUAAUAAAGCCCCCAUUAAGGCAGGGGAGCAACCACGCACAACAUUUUCUGUAUCCCACACACUCUGGCUGGCCAGGCGUCCAAGCCCACCGCGGGAACCGUUCGUGCCAUUCACCUGCAUGAAUCAGAGACCAUGCUACCUAUCCAGGGCUCUGCAAAGCCUCCGCCCAUCAGGUCGAGUCCAUCCACACUUUAGUUUUGACUCCA
rnacentral:lncRNA from 1 species